rnacentral:rRNA from 1 species
AUUGAACGCUGGCGGCAGGCCUAACACAUGCAAGUCGAGCGGAUGAAGGGAGCUUGCUCCUGGAUUCAGCGGCGGACGGGUGUGUAAUGCCUAGGAAUCUGCCUGGUAGUGGGGGAUAACGUCCGGAAACGGGCGCUAAUACCGCAUACGUCCUGAGGGAGAAAGUGGGGGAUCUUCGGACCUCACGCUAUCAGAUGAGCCUAGGUCGGAUUAGCUAGUUGGUGGGGUAAAGGCCUACCAAGGCGACGAUCCGUAACUGGUCUGAGAGGAUGAUCAGUCACACUAGAACUGGGACACGGUCCAGAGUCCUACGGGAGGCAGCAGUGGGGUAUAGUGGACAAUGGGGGAAAGCAUGAUACAGCGAUGCCGAGUGUGUGAAGAAGGUCUUCGGAUUGUAAAGCACUUUAAGUUGGUGGGAAGGGCAGUAAGUUAAUACCUUGCUGUAUUGACGUUACCGGCAGAAGAAGCACCGGCUAACUUCGUG